UUUCCUUUCAAAAGAUUUACUAAUAACCCAACAUCUUGGUAAUUUGUUUAGGUUAAUUAUUUUUUCCCCUGUCCUAUUUUUCUUUAAUAUUGAAACAUUUGUUAACUGGGUCUUCAAAACCCUUUCCUUUUGUUUAUUUCCUUAAAACUCCUUUCCGUGUUAAAAAUUAGUUUUCUUCGCCUCCAUCCACAGGACUCUAUACCUUUUGUUUCUUUUGACUUCCAUAAAUUCUUACGGAUCUAUAUGUUUAUAUUGAACUGUAGAUCUUACCUUAAUAUAAAUAUCUUUAGCGUGUUAUGUCCAGGGACGAAAAUAGGGUGGUUGAAGGGGAUCAUCCAAAAUGGGCUUCGCCAAAAAAUUAUGCUGCAUACAUAAGGUUAAUAUUAGUAUUUAUGCAUAAAUAGUAGAGGUUGAAUCCCCUUGUCUUGUUCGUGUGUUUACUUUUUAAUAUGUCGAAUUCCUUGGUAAAAAUUCUGGCUCCAGAUCUGAUUAUAUCAUCCGGUUCCAGGAAUAUUGGCCCUUUUUCCUUAAGCGGAUUGUACAUUGAUUGACAUACAGUUGUUACUUGCAGCUGCAGCAUUAUCAAGAUUCACAUAGAAAUCAUGUGGAGCAGAAAAUAUGUUUCUAAAAAUCUGCCACCCCUAAGUUUUUUUUGAAUAUGAGAAUCAUGAUGAUGCUGCAUCAGCAAAUAAUGACUUCUUUCUCCAAUAAAACGGCAAAAGAGAGAUGUUUGUUCGUAUGAUUUUAUAAGGAGUCACCCGAGGGGCAAUGCGAGACAAAAGUAUACGAAUUGAAGCAAAAAAGAGAACAAAAUAAGAAAAAGGCCCAAUGCAACGCCCAAGCCAGCGCGUUGCGCUGCCCGGGCCACAACUUGCAGGCCUGAAAACUUUUGGGCACAACUUAGCGCCAGGCUAGCGCGAUGCGCUACCCUGGGUGCUGGGUGACGGGAAUUCUCCUAUUUUGCUCGGGACAAGGUUAUUUCGACCAUGCACACCCCCAAUUGGUAUAAAAAUAAGUCUAAUCCUUUUUGGAGGGGGAGACGCCACUUUGAGGGGAAAACACAAGAACAAAAUAUUUGGGAGCAAGGAUUCUUAGUUUUUCUUCAUCUUUCUUAGUAUUUUCAACUAUUCAACAGCUAUGAAAUUGUUUAACUUUAUCAUGAGUGGUUAAGAACCACAUUAUUCUAGGGUUAUAGGUCGUUAUUGAUUAUUGUAGUUGAGGGUUGAUUGCUUUGCUUGGUUUAUCAUAUUAAUUUGUUUAUUCAA